AUUGAACGCUGGCGGCAGGCCUAACACAUGCAAGUCGAGCAAGUGGCGGACGGGUGAGUAAUGUCUGGGAAACUGCCUGAUGGAGGGGGAUAACUACUGGAAACGGUAGCUAAUACCGCAUACCAUCGGAUGUGCCCAUAUGGGAUUAGCUAGUAGGUGGGGUAACGGCUCACCAAGGCGACGAUCCCUAGCUGGUCUGAGAGGAUGACCAGCCACACUGGAACUGAGACACGGGCCAGACUCCUACGGGAGGCAGCAGUGGGGAAUAUUGCACAAUGGGCGCAAGCCUGAUGCAGCCAUGCCGCGUGUAGGAAGAAGGCCUUAGGGUUGUAAAGUACUUUCAGCGGGGAGGCGUUACCCGCAGAAGAAGCACCGGCUAACUCCGUGCCAGCAGCCGCGGUAAUUC
rnacentral:rRNA from 1 species